AGUGAACGCUGGCGGUAGGCCUAACACAUGCAAGUCGAACGGCAGCACAGUAAGAGCUUGCUCUUACGGGUGGCGAGUGGCGGACGGGUGAGGAAUACAUCGGAAUCUACUUUUUCGUGGGGGAUAACGUAGGGAAACUUACGCUAAUACCGCAUACGACCUACGGGUGAAAGCAGGGGAUCUUCGGACCUUGCGCGAUUGAAUGAGCCGAUGUCGGAUUAGCUAGUUGGCGGGGUAAAGGCCCACCAAGGCGACGAUCCGUAGCUGGUCUGAGAGGAUGAUCAGCCACACUGGAACUGAGACACGGUCCAGACUCCUACGGGAGGCAGCAGUGGGGAAUAUUGGACAAUGGGCGCAAGCCUGAUCCAGCCAUACCGCGUGGGUGAAGAAGGCCUUCGGGUUGUAAAGCCCUUUUGGUGGGAAAGAAAAGCAGCAGGUUAAUACCCCGCUGUUCUGACGGUACCCAAAGAAUAAGCACCGGCUAACUUCGU
rnacentral:rRNA from 1 species